rnacentral:rRNA from 1 species
CCUACGGGAUGCAGCAGUCGAGAAUCAUUCACAAUGGGGGAAACCCUGAUGGUGCGACGCCGCGUGGGGGAAUGAAGGUCUUCGGAUUGUAAACCCCUGUCAUGUGGGAGCAAAUUAAAAAGAUAGUACCACACGAGGAAGAGACGGCUAACUCUGUGCCAGCAGCCGCGGUAAUACAGAGGUCUCAAGCGUUGUUCGGAAUCACUGGGCGUAAAGCGUGCGUAGGCUGUUUCGUAAGUCGUGUGUGAAAGGCGCGGGCUCAACCCGCGGACGGCACAUGAUACUGCGAGACUAGAGUAAUGGAGGGGGAACCGGAAUUCUCGGUGUAGCAGUGAAAUGCGUAGAUAUCGAGAGGAACACUCGUGGCGAAGGCGGGUUCCUGGACAUUAACUGACGCUGAGGCACGAAGGCCAGGGGAGCGAAAGGGAUUAGAUACCCCUGUAGUC